GCUGCGCUGCUGUUUGUGCUGCAGGGCUGGGGGUGCCGGGGGUCCCCGAGUGCCGCCGCACCGCGGUGCGGCUCUCAGCGGGACCUGCGGUGCCCAUUCUGAAAAGGCUUUGCGAGUAAGAUAAGUGGUGCUUUGUAAAUGUGGAAACCCGUCUCCUCCUAAGGUUUGUGCUUUAGCAUGUGAUGAGCUGCACAUAAAGCAAUCCGCGGCAAGACUUUGGGGGCUGGAGGAUUUUUUUGCACAGCUCUUGUGCACCAGGAACCUCUGAGCCUUGGGUGGAAGUCCACAGGGCGGUGAAGACACUGUGGAAUUUUGCACCGUUGACUUCAGUGUGAGCAGGAUUACACCCUCAGGUUCUGACUCAGAUCCAUUUGAUAAUGACUUUUUUUUUACAUCAGAAAAUAAGUAAUGAUCAGUAUGUAGUAAGUAUAGAACAGUUUAGGUGCUGUAAGGACACAAAGUUGGUACUUAGUUCUGCCUGUUCAGUGUUUGUCAGGUGAAACCUUCUCCUUUGAGAUAUAAAACACACCUCUUAAAUUAAAAAAUAAUAUAGAUUGACCAUUGCUUUAUUUAGGGACACCAUAUAUUAAAAGAGACAUUUAUUUGGAUUUAAUGUCACUUGUGGGUUUUUUUUUUUUUUUGUUUUGUUUUAUAUUAUUGGCUGAGUUAUGACUAGGACUCUGUUGAAUGUCUGCCUCAAGGAGCAGAAAAUACAUUGAACAACAGGUACUAAAUUCCCUUGCGGAUUCAUAACUGAAUAGUUACAUUUCUACAUUAAUUUUCAAUAGCUGAACAAAUGACUUCAAGUGUCUUUAAUAGUAUCUUGUUUGACUUUAGAACUUGCUAAAAUUGUGAGAUAGGAUUAGAGAGGGAGGAGAUGCACUGUAUGCCAAGUGCAAGUUCAUGUCUGGUCUGCGCAGGGUUAAUUGUGAGACCAAAUCACAGAUGAGCCCAGCGCUGUAGGAAGGGCCUUGAUCUAGGUGCUCUGUGUGCUGGUAGAAAUGUGUAGUGUCACACAGGCUGUACAAGGAUUUGGAUGUUCAGGAAAGAGGUUUCUGUAUGUGUACAGAACUAAAAAAUCUCUAUGUGGUGUAACGGUGCUGCUCAGUUCCGCUCAGCUCCUCCAGUGAGCUCGUAGUCCACUCCAGGGUGCAGUCCAUGGACGACCUCAUGAACAGGGUGGUCUGAUCAAUGCUGCUUUAUUGAAGAAAAAAUGGUAUUGGGAAAAUGGAAAUGUUUGCAGCUGAGCGGGCGGCGAAGCAGGGAUACAGCUGUGGUAAUGGAAGGAGACCCUGGCAGAGCUGGCUGCUCUGCUGCUCUCCUUGGGGUCUGUUCUUCAUCCUCCAUGGGCUUUAAAGCAUCUCAGGUGGUAACAGUGGCACUGGCUGGUACCUGUCAAAACCUGGAUGCUCACAUGAGUGAGCAUUUCAAGCAAGUCCAAACUGCUUGAAGCUUCCCCAAGUUCUCCCAAGGUUUGGCACAGGGAGGAACCUGUAGCUGCUAACUCCUGUACACAGUUGUAUCUGUUCAUGCUCAAGGGUCAAUGAUUCAUCCAGGGUUUCAACACUAAACUCUCUCACUUGUUCAACAAGAAAAGAAACUUGCUGUUGCAUCAACAGGGGAUUAAGUUCUGACGUCUGGAGCUUGCCUGACCCCCUGUCUGCAGCCCAAGGUGCGAGGGGCUGUGGGAGAAGAAGGAGCAGGUUAUGCUUUUAACCACACUGUGAAAACAGCAGGGGGGAGGAACAGGCGAGGGGUCAGCAGGCAGGGGAUCAGGGGUGGCAGAGUGUGGAAGUUGUCCUGGCAUGUGAUGGCUGCACCGAGGUCAGUGGUCUGCCCUGCCACGGGACUCCAGCCCAGCCUCGGCUCUCCUGGGUCGUGAGAGCUGCUGCAGGUGCUCAGCAAGAACUCAACUGACUGGGCUGCUGCUGGAGUUCCUGGGAGCCUGUCCCAGGCAGGGCAUCCAGGGACAGCAGGCUGGGGCAGGAGGAACUCCUGCGUGAUGUGCAGUCACUGUAACAGCCGUGAUGCUGCCAGGUGCUUGCACAUCUGAAACAUGAGGGUGUUGGACAAGCUGGAGAACCCUGUGCUCCUGCUGGGAUGGUCAGAAUGCUGCCUGGCAUGGUGCAACAGAAACUGGUAGGAGAGAAGAAGCAUUGAGGACCAGCCUCUGCUGGUCUCAGGAUGAGCCUUCCCUUGUGAGAAUGUAUCUUACAGGCACCUCUGCAGUGAUUUCCUGCUCUGUCAAAGUUAAAAAUCUGUUCUCACACUCAGAAUUUUUAAUCUCCUGAGGGAUUUCCACCAUAAGAAGCCACCUCAGCUUUGAUUUCAAGGGCAGCAUUUCACUUGGAUCUGGAGACCAAGAACUCAUGACUUAAAGCUGAAGAGAACACAACAGACUGUGGUUCCUUGGAUUAGUGUGUCCUUUCCGAGUGAUAUCCUGUGCUGUGGGUGCAGUGUGUUUUCCAGGGAAACCUACAAUUAAGUAACAUCCCCCUGGAAACACAAAAAAGAAAAAUCAUCCAUCAGGUCUGCUCUUGCUUACUGGUGAUGGACUCCAGCAUCCACAUCUUCAAGCUGUGAUUAGAGCUCUUACCAGCUGUCACUCUGCAGUGGUUUUUCUCUGGAUUCCCUGUGUGAGUGCCUUCACAGAGGGAUGGUGACAGGGCUGGCACUGCUGCUAUGUUAACUGCCCUUGUUUUUUAUUGAUGGCCUCUGUAGAUGGUGGUUGUGUAGAGGGAGACUGGUGUAAAUGGUUUUGUCUACAGCCUCCUUUCUGCUUAAUAGAUAAAUGAAAUUUCUGCUUUGUGGGUGUGUUUGCUGAGACCUCAGGCUGUGCUCCCCAGGCUGUGUCCAGAACAGUGGUUUGUGUCCAUCACAUCAGGCAGCAGAAGGAAAUGCCCUGUGUGGAGCCACUUCCCAGGAGCCAGCUCUCUGCACAAGGGUCUCUGUGUCACCUCUCGCUCUGGCUGCUGCUGAAAUGGCUGAAUAUUUGUCCUGUGAGUGGAAGUGCCUGCAAUCCCCCUGCUCAGAGGGCUGUGAAUGAUUGCAAAGAGCUGGGGCAGGGCAGGUGGGGCUGGAGGAACUGUUCUGCUGGAAGGGCCAUGGGGGCACUUUUAAUGAGCUGUGCAAAGAGCUUGUUCCAACAGCUUCUAAUGGACUCAAUGUCUACAGCCUCUUGGCCUGGUAACAGCUGAGGCAGCCAAGUCUGCUAAAAGGAGCUCUGAGCAGGCAAAUAGGGCCCAGUGCCUUCAGAAAACAGACUUGACUUCCUCGGUGGCCAUAGAGCAAUUUAAAAUUAACUUGGAUGUGAUGGGUCCUCCUGGUUAGAACAAGGAGACUUUAAGAUCUUCCAGAGGAAAAAUUGCACUGCUUGCACUGGAAAGCAAAGAGCAUGAAGGGCUCUUUGUGGGCAUAGGGGUGAUGCAAAUGUAGACAAAGGGGAUGGGAGUGGGUUGUCCUGCAUGCUGGAGGGGAGCUGGAUCCUGGCUGGAGAGCACAGCAGGAGCAUGGACAGGCAGGGAGAGCCUAGAGAGCAGCCUGGCAGGAGAAGUAAGUGAUUGUAACCUGGUUUUAAAUUUCACACACAAAGUCCAUCUCUGCAGUGUUUGUCAGUGGUGAUUUGGGAAGGUCAGGGAAGCAAUGGUCAGUAAAAGAUGAGAGAAAGAACUUCAGUGGGGAAAGAGUGGGAUAGCUGAAAGUGCAGUGACUACAUUUUACCACAUCCUCUGUGAGCUUCAGUGCAGAGAGGGCCAGCCUGCCAAAGAGCAAGCUGGCACUGGGAGGAUGUGAAAGCAGCAAUUCUUGGGUUUUGGGAGAGGGAAGUCUUUAUUGACAAGAGUUAAUAUAAUUGGAAACUAUGACUGCAUAUAAAACAUGUCUGCCUGAUUCCUGUCUGUGUCUCCAAUGAUUGACUCUAUUAUAGUAAAGGUCUUUUCCAAACCACUUGUUUCUCUGGUCCUAUGAAAAGAGAUGAGGAAGAAAUUCCUGGGCAGGGAGUUGAGGGUGAUGAACACAAAUGUUGUAAUCUGUUGCCAGAUGGACACUGAAGAAAAAGCCACAUUCAGUGAAGCAUUUUUGUUCUAUACUGAGCCAAGUUCUCAUAGCGCAAUCCUACAGAAAGAAAUUGACUGAUAAUAAAUAUCUUUACUGUGAUAAUAACUAAACAGAAAUUUAACAUUUCAUACAUCUAACCCUGUUUACUUUAAAAUCUACACAUACUGACAACUUCUAUACAAUAAUUUUGCAAGAGCUGCCUGAAGAAUUUGUUCUGUACCAAUUAAGUGGGUGUAUUUCUACAAGCCUCAGUACAGAUGGAGGUCACCAGGGAUGCUGACCACAGCAUCAGGUCAGCCAGGCUGAUCUGUAACCUCCCUUGCGAAGUAUUAAAAAAAAUAAAGGUGGGAGAUCAUAAUAUGUAAUUAGCUCAACACAGCUACAUGACUGGCUACCCACAGCCAAGGUGGUUAAUGUGGUAUUUGUGUGUAUGGGAUGAGUGAAAGUUGACGAGCAGUGAAGAAUCUACCAGGCUGCUCUUUGUUGAGUUGGUGACUUUUUGCCAACACACUCAAUUUGCCAACUUCAUCUGAGCUUUAGCUGUCUCAUUUUAAAACAGAUUAUUUUUGCCAACUACAAAAUACCUCAAGAAGUUUAACUAUAAGUGUUUAAUAAGCUUUAUGUCAUUUUAGCAGAGGAAAAUAGAUGCCCUGAAGCUCUUGCAGCUUUGUAGCCCUGUGUUAAUGGCCCCUUUCUAGCCACUCUGCAAAUAGCCAGUGGGAGCAAAACGACUCCACUGGCAGGGAGGCUGCUAAACAGGGCUUGGGUUGAGUCCAGAUUACAUAAUGCUUGAGGAGCUGGGUUAGUAGAAAUCAGAUUCACAGAUCCAUCCUGCUGGAGAACAGGCAGUAGGGCUGGUAGCACAGUUACAGCUGUGACAUGGGAGCACUCAGCACCUUCCUGCUCCAGGUAGUUCUGUACAUCACAGGAAACUGAAGAAUAUUUUGCCAGUGGGAGAAAAAAUUAUCCAUAUGGCUUUGGAAAUCAAAUGGAAAAGAACUUAAUGAGAACAAAGCUAUUUGUUUGGUGUAUAAAAAGAACCACAGUAAAGAGGAAUUAUCAGUUGGCA